CCUACGGGGGGCAGCAGUGAGGAAUAUUGGUCAAUGGGCGGAAGCCUGAACCAGCCAAGUAGCGUGCAGGAUGACGGCCCUACGGGUUGUAAACUGCUUUUAUACGGGAAUAACGCGCCUUACGUGUAGGGCUUUGCAUGUACCGUAUGAAUAAGGACCGGCUAAUUCCGUGCCAGCAGCCGCGGUAAUACGGAGGAUCCGAGCGUUAUCCGGAUUUAUUGGGUUUAAAGGGAGCGUAGAUGGGUUGUUAAGUCAGUUGUGAAAGUUUGCGGCUCAACCGUAAAAUUGCAAUUGAUACUGGCAGCCUUGAGUACAGUUGAGGUAGGCGGAAUUCGUGGUGUAGCGGUGAAAUGCUUAGAUAUCACGAAGAACUCCGAUUGCGAAGGCAGCCUACUAAACUGCCACUGACAUUGAUGCUCGAAAGUGUGGGUAUCAAACAGGAUUAGAUACCCCUGUAGUC
rnacentral:rRNA from 1 species